UACGGAGGGGGCUAGCGUUGUUCGGAAUUACUGGGCGUAAAGCGCACGUAGGCGGACCAGUUAGUCGGGGGUGAAAUCCCGGGGCUCAACCCCGGAACUGCCUCCGAAACUGCUGGUCUGGAGGUCGAGAGAGGUGAGUGGAAUUCCGAGUGUAGAGGUGAAAUUCGUAGAUAUUCGGAGGAACACCAGUGGCGAAGGCGGCUCACUGGCUCGAACCUGACGCUGAGGUGCGAAAGCGUGGGGAGCAAACAGGG
rnacentral:rRNA from 1 species